UAAGACAAAAGUUUGUUUUUCUAAUUGAUGUAUUGAUGUUAAAUCAUGUUCAAAUUUUCAAAAUAAGAGACAUUAAUGAAUAUAUCUCGAAAAAAGGCUUGUAAUUUAUAGUAUAUAUUACUAUAAAAUAAAAAAAUUACUAUAAAUUAUUAAAGUUAUUGUAAGAUUAGUAUAAAUUACUAUAACUAAGUUUUUGUUUUGAUUGCUCUAAGCAUAUGUUAAUGUUUGAUUAUGUUCAAUUUAACUUCCGAAUUUGCAAUUGUUAAAAUACAUAAUAAUUAACAUAUUAUUUUUUUGUUAACUUUUACUUUUAAUUCUAUUGAUUGUAUUAUAUUAAAGGAACAUUUAAAAAUAAUAAAUAAUUAAAGUGAUUUAAGAUUAAAAUAGUGCAUGUCUUUCAAAAAAUUGAAAGAAAUUAUACUUUAAAAUAUAAUUCAACAACGACAAAACAUCAUUUAGCAUUACAAUAUUUCUUUAAAUUCGAUGUAAAUUUAAAUUUUUCAUUAAUAUACUUUAUUAAUAUAUAAAAAGAUAUUUUUCAAGAAUUGUACUUGAUUUGACAAUAAUUUUGUCAUUGCCAACGACAUCAAACUUCAUAUAACGAUUGAAAUUAUGGACAAUACACUUUGAUUUGAUUCUGUGGGCAUUACGAAGAACAAUGUAUUUAGAGAGAAAACCCAUCUUAAAGCUGGAUGUCAUCGGCCACUAAUCUACUCCUUUAUCCAAUAAUCUCAACCAUAGAUGUGAUUUUUUACAUUAGCACCUUGAGAAUCAACUUCAAAACCAUUGAUCUUAAAAGUAUAUAUAAUUUUUUUCAAAAAUGUGUAAAAAAAAAACUAAAAAAUAAAUAAUUAUUAACUUUAAAAGUGACAUUAGUAAGACAAAAGUUUAUUUUUCUAAUUGAUGUAUUGAUGUUAAAUUAUGUUCAAAUUUUGAAAACAAGAGAAAUUAAUGAAUAUAUCUCGAAAAAAGGCUUGUAAUUUAUAGUAUAUAUUACUAUAAAAUAAGAAAAAUUAGUAUUAAUUAUUAAAUAUGUUGUAAGAUUAUUUUAAUCUUAAUUAACUAAGGUUUAGUUUUCAUUUCUCUAAGAAUAUGUUAAUGUUUGAUUAUGUUCAAUUUAACAUCCGAAUUUGCAAUUGCUAAAAUACAUAAUAAUUAACAUAUUAUUUUUUGCUAACAUUUGCUUUUAAUUCUGUUGACUGUAUUAUAUUAAAGAGUGAUUUAAAAAUAACAAUGAAUUAAUGUGAUUUAAUAUUAAAUAGUACAUGUCUUUCAAAAAAUUGAAAGAUAUUAUACUUUAAAAUAAAAUUCAACAACGACAAAACAUCAUUUAGCAUUACAAUAUUUCUUUAAAUUCAAUGUAAAUUUAAAUUUAUCAUUACAUAUACUUUAUUAAUAUAUAAAAAGAUAUUUUUCAAGAAUUGUUCUUGAUUCAACGAUAAUUUUGUCAUUACCAACGGCAUCAUACUUCAUAUAAUGAUUGAAAGUAUGGACAAUACAGUUUGAUUUGAUUCUAUGGGCAUUACGAAGAACAAUGUAUUUAGAGAGAAAACCCAUCUUAAAGCUGGAUGUCGUCGGCCACUAAUCUACUCCUUUAUCCAAUAAUGUCAACCACAAACGUGAUUAUUUACAUUAGCACCUUUAGAAUCAGCUUCAAAAACAUUGAUCUUAAAGUAUAUAGAAUUUUUUUCAAAAAUGAAUAAAGACAAAACUAAAAAAUAAAUAAUUAUUAAUUUUGAAAGUGACAUUAGUAAGACAAAAGUUUGUUUUUCUAAUUGAUGUAUUGAUGUUAAAUCAUGUUCAAAUUUUCAAAAUAAGAGACAUUAAUGAAUAUAUCUCGAAAAAAGGCUUGUAAUUUAUAGUAUAUAUUACUAUAAAAUAAAAAAAUUACUAUAAAUUAUUAAAGUUAUUGUAAGAUUAGUAUAAAUUACUAUAACUAAGUUUUUGUUUUGAUUGCUCUAAGCAUAUGUUAAUGUUUGAUUAUGUUCAAUUUAACUUCCGAAUUUGCAAUUGUUAAAAUACAUAAUAAUUAACAUAUUAUUUUUUUGUUAACUUUUACUUUUAAUUCUAUUGAUUGUAUUAUAUUAAAGGAACAUUUAAAAAUAAUAAAUAAUUAAAGUGAUUUAAGAUUAAAAUAGUGCAUGUCUUUCAAAAAAUUGAAAGAAAUUAUACUUUAAAAUAUAAUUCAACAACGACAAAACAUCAUUUAGCAUUACAAUAUUUCUUUAAAUUCGAUGUAAAUUUAAAUUUUUCAUUAAUAUACUUUAUUAAUAUAUAAAAAGAUAUUUUUCAAGAAUUGUACUUGAUUUGACAAUAAUUUUGUCAUUGCCAACGACAUCAAACUUCAUAUAACGAUUGAAAUUAUGGACAAUACACUUUGAUUUGAUUCUGUGGGCAUUACGAAGAACAAUGUAUUUAGAGAGAAAACCCAUCUUAAAGCUGGAUGUCAUCGGCCACUAAUCUACUCCUUUAUCCAAUAAUCUCAACCAUAGAUGUGAUUUUUUACAUUAGCACCUUGAGAAUCAACUUCAAAACCAUUGAUCUUAAAAGUAUAUAUAAUUUUUUUCAAAAAUGUGUAAAAAAAAAACUAAAAAAUAAAUAAUUAUUAACUUUAAAAGUGACAUUAGUAAGACAAAAGUUUAUUUUUCUAAUUGAUGUAUUGAUGUUAAAUUAUGUUCAAAUUUUGAAAACAAGAGAAAUUAAUGAAUAUAUCUCGAAAAAAGGCUUGUAAUUUAUAGUAUAUAUUACUAUAAAAUAAGAAAAAUUAGUAUUAAUUAUUAAAUAUGUUGUAAGAUUAUUUUAAUCUUAAUUAACUAAGGUUUAGUUUUCAUUUCUCUAAGAAUAUGUUAAUGUUUGAUUAUGUUCAAUUUAACAUCCAAAUUUGCAAUUGCUAAAAUACAUAAUAAUUAACAUAUUAUUUUUUGCUAACAUUUGCUUUUAAUUCUG
rnacentral:lncRNA from 1 species